rnacentral:rRNA from 1 species
GCCUACGGGACGCAGCAGUGGGGAAUAUUGCACAAUGGGGGAAACCCUGAUGCAGCAACGCCGCGUGAGUGAAGAAGUAUUUCGGUAUGUAAAGCUCUAUCAGCAGGGAAGAAAAUGACGGUACCUGAGUAAGAAGCCCCGGCUAACUACGUGCCAGCAGCCGCGGUAAUACGUAGGGGGCAAGCGUUAUCCGGAUUUACUGGGUGUAAAGGGAGCGUAGACGGCGAUACAAGUCUGAAGCGAAAGCCCGGGGCUCA